CACUCAUCGAGACCGGCUGAGGGACAGGCCCUUUGAAGCCGGGGCAACCUGCAGGUGAUUCCUGCAAAACGGUGCCAACUCCUGCGGGGCGCUUCGGCGUCAACCGGUAGAUGGGAU
rnacentral:ncRNA from 2 species